GCCUGGCGGGCUCAGUCGGCAGAGCAUAUGACUCUUGAUCUUGGGGUUGUGAGUUCGAAACCCACGUUGGACG
rnacentral:tRNA from 1 species